rnacentral:rRNA from 1 species
UACGUAGGGUGCAAGCGUUGUCCGGAAUUAUUGGGCGUAAAGAGCUCGUAGGCGGUUUGUCGCGUCUGCUGUGAAAACGCGAGGCUCAACCUCGCGCCUGCAGUGGGUACGGGCAGACUGGAGUGCGGUAGGGGAGAUUGGAAUUCCUGGUGUAGCGGUGGAAUGCGCAGAUAUCAGGAGGAACACCGAUGGCGAAGGCAGGUCUCGUGGGCCACUACUGACGCUGAGAAGCGAAAGCAUGGGGAGCGAACAGGG